UACGUAGGGUGCAAGCGUUGUCCGGAAUUACUGGGCGUAAAGAGUUCGCAGGCGGUCUGUCGCGUCGGAUGUGAAAACCCGGGGCUCAACCCCGGGCCUGCAUUCGAUACGGCCAGACUAGAGUUCGGUAGGGGAGUCUGGAAUUCCUGGUGUAGCGGUGAAAUGCGCAGAUAUCAGGAGGAACACCGGUGGCGAAGGCGGGACUCUGGGCCGAUACUGACGCUGAGGAGCGAAAGCGUGGGGAGCAAACAGG
rnacentral:rRNA from 1 species